rnacentral:rRNA from 1 species
AGAGUUUGAUCAUGGCUCAGGACGGACGCUGGCGGCGUGCCUAAUACAUGCAAGUCGAGCGGAGUUAUUCCUUCGGGGAUAGCUUAGCGGCGGACGGGUGAGUAACACGUAGGUAACCUGCCUGUAAGACUGGGAUAACUACCGGAAACGGUAGCUAAGACCGGAUACGCGGCAUUCUCGCAUGAGAGAGUCGGGAAAAGCGGAGCAAUCUGCUACUUAUAGAUGGACCUGCGGCGCAUUAGCUAGUUGGUGGGGUAACGGCUCACCAAGGCGACGAUGCGUAGCCGACCUGAGAGGGUGAACGGCCACACUGGGACUGAGACACGGCCCAGACUCCUACGGGAGGCAGCAGUAGGGAAUCUUCCGCAAUGGACGCAAGUCUGACGGAGCAACGCCGCGUGAGUGAUGAAGGUUUUCGGAUCGUAAAGCUCUGUUGCCAGGGAAGAACGCUUGGGAGAGUAACUGCUCUCAAGGUGACGGUACCUGAGAAGAAAGCCCCGGCUAACUACGUGCCAGCAGCCGCGGUAAUACGUAGGGGGCAAGCGUUGUCCGGAAUUAUUGGGCGUAAAGCGCGCGCAGGCGGCUUUGUAAGUCUGGUGUUUAAACUUAGGGCUCAACCCUGAGUCGCAUUGGAAAACUGCAGGCUUGAGUGCAGAAGAGGAGAGUGGAAUUCCACGUGUAGCGG